GAGGGAUGGCCGAGUGGUUGAAGGCGGCGGUCUUGAAAACCGUUGAGCGAAAGUUCCGGGGGUUCGAAUCCCUCUCCCUCC
rnacentral:tRNA from 1 species